rnacentral:rRNA from 1 species
GAUGAACGCUGGCGGCGUGCCUAAUACAUGCAAGUCGAGCGAACAGACGAGGAGCUUGCUCCUCUGACGUUAGCGGCGGACGGGUGAGUAACACGUGGAUAACCUACCUAUAAGACUGGGAUAACUUCGGGAAACCGGAGCUAAUACCGGAUAAUAUAUUGAACCGCAUGGUUCAAUAGUGAAAGACGGUUUUGCUGUAACUUAUAGAUGGAUCCGCGCCGCAUUAGCUAGUUGGUAAGGUAACGGCUUACCAAGGCAACGAUGCGUAGCCGACCUGAGGGGGGGAUCGGCCACACUGGAACUGAGACACGGUCCAGACUCCUACGGGAGGCAGCAGUAGGGAAUCUUCCGCAAUGGGCGAAAGCCUGACGGAGCAACGCCGCGUGAGUGAUGAAGGUCUUCGGAUCGUAAAACUCUGUUAUUAGGGAAGAACAAAUGUGUAAGUAACUAUGCACGUCUUGACGGUACCUAAUCAGAAAGCCACGGCUAACUACGUG